UUGAUGCCAACACUUAUAAGAAGAGACUCACAUAUGGCUAUUUGUAAAUUCUAGCAUCAAUUUUAUUUUAUAUUUUGGUUUCAAACUUUGGAAUCUAAGAUGUCUUCACAGUAAGAAAAUUUUGAUAUAAAAAGAUGUCUCAGGUCCACACAGAAGGAUAUUGAAUUUGAUACAUCAAGCUGGAAACAGGCUUUGUGCGGAUGGCGGAAUUCCAAGAACCGAAAUGGUCCGACGGAAACAACGCGGCAGCAUCCCAAUAUUCAACCACAAUCAGAACUGCGAAGCACAUCAACAAAACGAUUUCACUGCACUUAUCAUUUUAACAAAACCACCUAACAAUAUCAAUACAUGACAAAAAAUAGUGCAUUCAAUUUCUAUCGUUUCCUACAACUCCACCCAUGUUAAUCAUAACCGUGUCAUUUGCAACUAAUAAAACCAUGUCCAAACACAAUCCGUAAAAGCAUUCUAACUUUUCACUCAAUUUAAAAUUUCAAAAGGGAAAAGGAUUUCACAAAAACAUCUUCACAUCAAGACCAUGUUGCAACCAAUUUACAAGUUCCAAUUGUGAUUUAAUUAACCUAGUUAAUAACGGCAAUUAAUACCAGGCUCUAGU
rnacentral:lncRNA from 1 species